UACGUAGGGUGCAAGCGUUGUCCGGAAUUAUUGGGCGUAAAGAGCUCGUAGGCGGUUUGUCGCGUCGAAUGUGAAAACCCGGGGCUCAACUCCGGGCCUGCAUUCGAUACGGGCAGACUAGAGUUCGGUAGGGGAGACUGGAAUUCCUGGUGUAGCGGUGAAAUGCGCAGAUAUCAGGAGGAACACCGGUGGCGAAGGCGGGGUCUCUGGGCCGAUACUGACGCUGGAGGUGCGAAAGCGUGGGGAGCAAACAGG
rnacentral:rRNA from 1 species